rnacentral:rRNA from 1 species
UGCAAGUCGAGCGGACCGACGGGAGCUUGCUCCCUUAGGUCAGCGGCGGACGGGUGAGUAACACGUGGGUAACCUGCCUGUAAGACUGGGAUAACUCCGGGAAACCGGGGCUAAUACCGGAUGCUUGAUUGAACCGCAUGGUUCAAUCAUAAAAGGUGGCUUUUAGCUACCACUUACAGAUGGACCCGCGGCGCAUUAGCUAGUUGGUGAGGUAACGGCUCACCAAGGCGACGAUGCGUAGCCGACCUGAGAGGGUGAUCGGCCACACUGGGACUGAGACACGGCCCAGACUCCUACGGGAGGCAGCAGUAGGGAAUCUUCCGCAAUGGACGAAAGUCUGACGGAGCAACGCCGCGUGAGUGAUGAAGGUUUUCGGAUCGUAAAACUCUGUUGUUAGGGAAGAACAAGUACCGUUCGAAUAGGGCGGUACCUUGACGGUACCUAACCAGAAAGCCACGGCUAACUACGUGCCAGCAGCCGCGGUAAUACGUAGGUGGCAAGCGUUGUCCGGAAUUAUUGGGCGUAAAGCGCGCGCAGGCGGUUUCUUAAGUCUGAUGUGAAAGCCCCCGGCUCAACCGGGGAGGGUCAUUGGAAACUGGGGAACUUGAGUGCAGAAGAGGAGAGUGGAAUUCCACGUGUAGCGGUGAAAUGCGUAGAGAUGUGGAGGAACACCAGUGGCGAAGGCGACUCUCUGGUCUGUAACUGACGCUGAGGCGCGAAAGCGUGGGGAGCGAACAGGAUUAGAUACCCUGGUAGUCCACGCCGUAAACGAUGAGUGCUAAGUGUUAGAGGGUUUCCGCCCUUUAGUGCUGCAGCAAACGCAUUAAGCA